UUCGACCUGUUUAACCAAAAACAUAGCUUUAUGGAAUUUAUGUAAAGUGACGUCUGCCCGGUGAUCUAAGGAUUUAACGGCCGCGAUUUCGUGCUAAGGUAGCGUAAUAAUUUGUCUUUUUAUUGGAGACUGGAAUGAAUGGAUAAUUACGAGGCUUUACUGUCUCUAUUUAUUUAUAUGAAAUUGAUUUAGAGGUGAAAAAUCUUUUAUAUUUGUAAAGGACGAAAAGACCCUAUAGAGUUUUUGAGUGGAAUUGGUUAUAUUUUUCCUGUUUUUGAUUUGUUUAUGUUUUUUAUAACUGUAUUCACUUUUAUUGGGGCAAUAGAAGAAAAGUUUAAAAUUCUUAUUUUUGUGUUUUGUGGCAAUAAAAAUUUGAUCCUUAAAAAGAAUUAGGAUAAACUACCUUAGGGAUAACAGCGUAAUCCUACCAGAGAGAACUAAUCGAAGGAAGGGUUUGCGACCUCGAUGUUGGACUAAGGUAUCUUCAUGGUGUAGAAGCUUUGAAUAGUGGGCCUGUUCGGCCUUUAAAACCUUACAUGAUUUGAGGUUCAUUCCGUAA
rnacentral:rRNA from 1 species